AUGGAGGUGAUGAUCGUUUCCCCAAAAAUGAUCGACUUUGAUCAUAUUGUGCGUUUUUGUAUUUUCAAGAAAACCAGAUUCAAGAAAAUCAGCUUCAA
rfam:Macleaya cordata isolate BLH2017 scaffold1721, whole genome shotgun sequence.